GGAGGGGUUCCCGAGUGGUCAAAGGGGGCAGACUGUAAAUCUGCUGGCGAUGCCUUCGGAGGUUCGAAUCCUUCCCCCUCCACUA
rnacentral:tRNA from 2 species